AGAGUUUGAUCAUGGCUCAGAUUGAACGCUGGCGGCAGGCCUAACACAUGCAAGUCGAACGGUAACAGGAAGCAGCUUGCUGCUUUGCUGACGAGUGGCGGACGGGUGAGUAAUGUCUGGGAAACUGCCUGAUGGAGGGGGAUAACUACUGGAAACGGUGGCUAAUACCGCAUAACGUCGCAAGACCAAAGAGGGGGACCUUCGGGCCUCUUGCCAUCAGAUGUGCCCAGAUGGGAUUAGCUUGUUGGUGAGGUAACGGCUCACCAAGGCGACGAUCCCUAGCUGGUCUGAGAGGAUGACCAGCCACACUGGAACUGAGACACGGUCCAGACUCCUACGGGAGGCAGCAGUGGGGAAUAUUGCACAAUGGGCGCAAGCCUGAUGCAGCCAUGCCGCGUGUAUGAAGAAGGCCUUCGGGUUGUAAAGUACUUUCAGCGGGGAGGAAGGUGUUGUGGUUAAUAACCGCAGCAAUUGACGUUACCCGCAGAAGAAGCACCGGCUAACUCCGUGCCAGCAGCCGCGGUAAUACGGAGGGUGCAAGCGUUAAUCGGAAUUACUGGGCGUAAAGCGCACGCAGGCGGUCUGUCAAGUCGGAUGUGAAAUCCCCGGGCUCAACCUGGGAACUGCAUUCGAAACUGGCAGGCUUGAGUCUUGUAGAGGGGGGUAGAAUUCCAGGUGUAGCGGUGAAAUGCGUAGAGAUCUGGAGGAAUACCGGUGGCGAAGGCGGCCCCCUGGACAAAGACUGACGCUCAGGUGCGAAAGCGUGGGGAGCAAACAGGAUUAGAUACCCUGGUAGUCCACGCCGUAAACGAUGUCUACUUGGAGGUUGUGCCCUUGAGGCGUGGCUUCCGGAGCUAACGCGUUAAGUAGACCGCCUGGGGAGUACGGCCGCAAGGUUAAAACUCAAAUGAAUUGACGGGGGCCCGCACAAGCGGUGGAGCAUGUGGUUUAAUUCGAUGCAACGCGAAGAACCUUACCUGGUCUUGACAUCCACAGAACUUUCCAGAGAUGGAUUGGUGCCUUCGGGAACUGUGAGACAGGUGCUGCAUGGCUGUCGUCAGCUCGUGUUGUGAAAUGUUGGGUUAAGUCCCGCAACGAGCGCAACCCUUAUCCUUUGUUGCCAGCGGUCCGGCCGGGAACUCAAAGGAGACUGCCAGUGAUAAACUGGAGGAAGGUGGGGAUGACGUCAAGUCAUCAUGGCCCUUACGACCAGGGCUACACACGUGCUACAAUGGCGCAUACAAAGAGAAGCGACCUCGUGAGAGCAAGCGGACCUCAUAAAGUGCGUCGUAGUCCGGAUUGGAGUCUGCAACUCGACUCCAUGAAGUCGGAAUCGCUAGUAAUCGUGGAUCAGAAUGCCACGGUGAAUACGUUCCCGGGCCUUGUACACACCGCCCGUCACACCAUGGGAGUGGGUUGCAAAAGAAGUAGGUAGCUUAACCUUCGGGAGGGCGCUUACCACUUUGUGAUUCAUGACUGGGGUGAAGUCGUAACAAGGUAACCGUAGGGGAACCUGCGGUUGGAUCACCUCCUU
rnacentral:rRNA from 1 species